UACGUAGGGGGCAAGCGUUGUCCGGAAUCAUUGGGCGUAAAGCGCGCGUAGGCGGCCCGGUAAGUCCGCUGUGAAAGUCAAAGGCUCAACCUUUGAAUGCCGGUGGAUACUGUCGGGCUAGAGUCCGGAAGAGGCGAGUGGAAUUCCUGGUGUAGCGGUGGAAUGCGCAGAUAUCAGUAGGAACACCGAUAGCGAAGGCAGCUCGCUGGGACGGUACUGACGCUGAGGCGCGAAAGCGUGGGGAGCGAACAGG
rnacentral:rRNA from 1 species